rnacentral:rRNA from 1 species
AUUGAACGCUGGCGGCAGGCCUAACACAUGCAAUUCGAACGAGUGGCGGACGGGUGAGUAAUGUCUGGGAAACUGCCCGAUGGAGGGGGAUAACUACUGGAAACGGUAGCUAAUACCGCAUACCAUCGGAUGUGCCCAGAUGGGAUUAGCUUGUAGGUGAGGUAACGGCUCACCUAGGCGACGAUCCCUAGCUGGUCUGCGAGGCUGACCAGCCAAGCGGGAAAUGAGACACGGUGCAGAAGCCUACGGGCGGCAGGAGUGUGGAAUAUUGCACAAUGGGCGCAAGCCUGAUGCAGCUAUGCCGGGUGUAUGAAGAAGGCCUUCGGGUUGUAAAGUACUUUCAGCGGGGAGGCGGUACCCGCAGAAGAAGCACCGGAUAACUACGUGCCAGCAGCCGUGGUAGUC